GAGCUGUGAAGAAAACGAUUAAGCUAUGGUUGGGUCCAUCGCAUUCAUCUGAAUUCCAGAUGAGAUAGCCAGAUCCUGAGCUC
rnacentral:snoRNA from 2 species